CGGACGGGUGAGUAAUGUCUGGGAAACUGCCUGAUGGAGGGGGAUAACUACUGGAAACGGUAGCUAAUACCGCAUAACGUCGCAAGACCAAAGAGGGGGACCUUCGGGCCUCUUGCCAUCGGAUGUGCCCAGAUGGGAUUAGCUAGUAGGUGGGGUAACGGCUCACCUAGGCGACGAUCCCUAGCUGGUCUGAGAGGAUGACCAGCCACACCGGAACUGAGACACGGUCCAG
rnacentral:rRNA from 1 species